GUUUUACAGACUUACCAAAAUGUGGAUAUACUGGUGGGUGACAUUCUUUGGCAGUACUAGAUCUUAAAUGAUGUGAAAUGUGAUAAUAUUCAUGGUCCCUGGAAGAGAGGGAAAUAGUCAAAGAUACAGAACUAAAGUGAGAAACUUUAAGUCAGGAUAACCUUUAAGAAGCUCUUUGUAUUUUCAGGAAAUGAAGAGAUUCUAAAGCAAUCUCUGGUACUGCCAUCAAAAACACCAAGGAAUUCAACAUUAGCAGUAUGACAGUUACAACACUGAUUCAGAAAAGCGUAUGCUAAUUUUUUUUUCUCCAAAUAGACAGCUACCAGCUGAAGGCAGCUGAACACCUAGAGCCAUCUGUGUUAAAACAACACUUGCAAGUGGAAAGAAACACUAAGUAGAAGGGGGGAGGGGAGGGGGAAUAGCCAAACACAAAGAAGCAAGGUAGCCAAAAAGGCAGUUUUGUAUCCCAAAAUGCCUCUGACAUUUCUCCUUGUCUGCACUUCAGGAAGACAGAGUGGGGGAAAUGCCAGCAGUGCAAUGGUUUUUGUGGCAAGCAGUAUUCCACAUUGCAAAUACCACUGAUACCACAGCUAGCGCUGCAGGUACCUGGUGCAAAGAUCCCAGGGGCUACACCAUGGUAGAGACCAAAUUACCUCUUCUCUUCCCCAGAUAUGCAUUUGAACUGUUGACUGCAGGAGAGAGAAGUUGUCUGAAGAGUUUUCCAAGAUCUUCAGUGGCACUGAACUGCCUCAGCACUGGUAACCCUGACAGAGUAUCCAGGAAUCACUUGAAAACUUUGUCAUGGUUAUUUGGUCAGGCUGCUCUGCUGCAUUGGGUCUA